AUACGGGGGGUGCAAGCGUUAAUCGGAAUUACUGGGCGUAAAGCGCGCGUAGGCGGUUUGCUCAGUCGGAUGUGAAAGCCCAGGGCUCAACCUUGGAACUGCAUACGAUACUGGCAAACUAGAGUGUGAGAGAGGGUAGUGGAAUUUCCGGUGUAGCGGUGAAAUGCGUAGAUAUCGGAAGGAACAUCAGUGGCGAAGGCGACUGUCUGGCUCAACACUGACGCUGAGGUGCGAAAGCGUGGGUAGCAAACAGGAUUAGAAACCCUAGUAGUCC
rnacentral:rRNA from 1 species